CAGGAGUUCACCUUGCUCCAUUUAGCAGCCAGUGACAGACCGACCGUAGCACCUGAGGCUACCAAAGAGGAGAUAAUCUUCUUACAACCCAGAACAAAUCCCUUGGUGGAGGAGGAUUCCUCCAGGUUCUGCCCUAUUAAAAGAUGGGGAUUUCCUGCAAUGGGUAGGCUUUGCUCUGACAAGACACCUACAUGAGCAGGAAUUUGCACAGCAGUUGAGAUCUAAAUGCAGACACGUAGGGAGGGGUUUUUUUUUAAAAAAACCUGGUUUUCCCCAUAAAGCCAUAUUUCUUGACACUAAGUUCACAGCUUCAGCCUUGAGGUAUCUACAGAAAUGUUUGGAGUCCCAGCCCUCAAGCCAGUCCCAGCCCCCAGCUUUGCCUGAUCUCCAUCAUCUGGGACUUCAGACAGGAUACAUUGAUUUGGAAGACUUGAAACCUGACCGAAGUGUGGUGAUAGACACAGAUAGGAGUUGCCAGGAUGUUGAAACAUCAAUACCAGAAUUUUACACCCCUAAGGAUAGGGCUCCCUGUUUUUCUGAAGAUACUGCUCCCCUGCUGGAUGUAUUAACUUUUUGUGGAGUCUGUGAUGUUUACACCUUGGAAUGUCUCUAUUCAGGUGCAUGAAUGAAGAGUUAGGGUCUGCCCUCAAAUAAUUCAGAAUUAUGUGUACGUAGCUUACUCACAAAAUUACAAGGUCAUGUCAUUUUUUAUUUGCAUAAUUUCUUUAAUGUUAAAAAUGGAAAAGUAUUUUUAAGUCUACUUUUCACAUAAUUGCAAACUCAUAGAAUACAGAUAAUCAUAUAAUAUUCUUAAAAAUUUGAAGAGGACAAUUUAUUCUUUACUUAGAUCUGUGAAGGAGUCUCAUAGUAUAUUGGUGAUGUGUUUUCCAGAAAUACUGUUAAGCUAAUUCAACCCACCUUGAGAGCUGGUGAUAAAAAUCUUGAUGUGAAACACUUUCACAGCAGAAGAGUGCAGGUGCAAAAUGGAAAAGCAAGCGUUUUUUCAAGUGGCAUUGAUUGUUUUCUCUGCAAUAUGUAGGAACACCAGAAUAUUUUUAGAUGAAAAAGAUUAAAAAAUUAUCCAUUGCAUUUGUGAUAGCCUAUAUGUUUGGGUUAGUUAUUUAUCGUUUGCAAUAUCCAUAAAGCUAUCUUAAGCAUCCUAAUUAGGUUUCAGCUUUUCAGAGGGAGGCUGGGAGGCUCUUGUGCAGUUGUGGCGCGGUGGCGGGGUGCGUGCAGCACAGCUGCUUUCUGAUGUCAGUCGCUAUUUCAAUGACACGAAAGUGGGAGAGGAAGAGCGUGAAAAAGGCAGACAGUUUUUAAGAAAAAAAAGUGUCAUCAGUAAGCAAAUUAUUUUUGCCUGUGUUGUUUUGAUUAGGAUAUGAACUAACAAAUAAAGUCUGAUUGCUACAAAAGAAAUUACAUCUGGAGAGUUUAACUGGGGCACUUUCAGAAAGUUUUUGGUGAAAUCUGUAUUUUUUUGCCCCCGUGCUGGGAAAAGUCUGUAUUGUCUUUUCGCAAAAAUUCUGGUAAUACAUGUAAUUCACCUGGCCUGCAAGCAGAACAAAAUCCUUUCCUCUCAGUGCUCUCUGUUUGGAUUUCAGUUUGUGCUGUGUUCAGGGACGCUGGAAGAAUGAUGGAUUUCCUGUGGAAAAGGGGAGUAGCUACAUGGAUCUGUGUGUAAGGUGCUCAGUACUUGAUGAGCAGGGUGAAUAUUCCUGGGUUUGUUUCCUCCCUCUCUAGGCAUCCUUUUGCUAUGCUGAUAAUGGUAUGAUAUCCUUGGGCUUUUUCUUUGGGUUUUCUUGAAUUUUGUAGAUAUGGGUUGAAAGAAACACAGAAAAUUUCUGCUGAUCUGUGAUCUCAACGAUCUUAGUUUCCAGUGUGAGGUGAAAAUCGUUUCUUGAAAAUGUUUCUUAGGAUGGACUGACACUUUCCUUUCAGAUACAUCCACCCUGGCACAUGAGUUUUGUGGGAGGGCAGGAAAGGUGAAUAUGUGGGUAUUUGUAGUGAAGGAAAUUUCUGGAUUUUGUUUGUUGUUCUCUUUUCCAAAGAAAAUCAGGGAAUUGUGAAAACUUCGGAGGGGCUGCAUAUAUUAACAAAGUGGUUAAUUAAAAUUAUGGAAUAGCUCUUUGGCCACUAAAAGUCUGGACAAUGUUUAUUAAUGGUUGUCAUAAGGUCACUGAUUUAGAAGUGUGAAGAUUAUUACUUGAGAAUACCAAAUAAAAUUUCGUGCUGCCAUUAAAAAUGUGGUUUGCAUACUGACUUUGGUUUCUUUAUUCAUGCACUUUGAGCAGCCUGAAUCACAAUUGGUUUUCUAUGGCUUUUUAUUGCACCUCUUUGUUUGACUGACCUCAAAAAAAGGGAACUAGAUGAUGAUGAUGGUAAACAUUAAAAUUUGCUUUAAAAUAUAUAUAGGUAUUACUAGCACACAUCAUUUCACUCAUUUGAAAAAUAAGUUUCUUAAGAGGAUAUAUAUAUAUUUCUAUGUUGCACAGCUAUUUCUGUGUUAUCUUCAAAGCGCUCUUAAGGAAAUAAUACAUGCCUUUGUAAGGAUUUCUUUUGAAGGUAGGUAUGAUUUCUAUCUAAGUGUCAUCUCCCACUUCAGAACAUUCCUAAGGAGAUGUGAAUCAACACCUGCCCAAUUGAGGACAAGGAAGCAGCUUUUCUGUCUCUUUAUACCUGUACUCAAGUGUUUGGAGCCUGGUUAUUAGAAAAAAUAUUGUGAACUCAGUUUUAUAUUUCCAGUAGAAACACACAUAGGUGCAUGGUUUUCUUACCAGACGUUUUUCUUUUAUAUGGGAAACUUCAUUGGCUAUGUGAAACAUGUAGGAUGAACACUUAAAAAUUAGUAGUCUGCUUAUGCUAAAGCACUGCCUGCAGAUGGUCCAGUUAGUUUGGUGUUCGGUGUUGAGGACAGUUACCCUCAAAUCAGACACAGAAACACUACUUGGAAUUAUAAUGUGGGAUUGAGUGAGUUAAGGGGUGGGUAAUCAUUAAUGGUUUGCUGCUUUUAUCAAGCUUGUCUAGACAGUUUUUUUUUUCUUACAAUUUUUAAAUAUGAUUUUUAAAAUUUUAUUUAUAGUACAGCUGUAGUCAUGAAUUUUCACCCAUGAAUUUUUCUUUUUGUGUUGAAAGUAUUUUCAAUAUUUACUUUAAAAUCAAUUUUCUAGUCUCAUAUUGCCCCUGUAUGUUUGAUGCUAUAGAAAUAAUGUUUGGAUAUGAUCAUGUACUAUAAUUGGCCCCUGAUAUUUUGUGUACCAAACUUUACAGUAGCAGAUUUAACUAGAAAUACUGCAUAGUGACAUAUUGUACUUAAAAAAUAUAAACGUGUAUAGAGAAAAGUAGCAGAUGAUAGAAUUAAAGUUCAGCAUCGUUUCCCUCCUUCCCUCUCUCAAGUUUUUUUCUUGAUAGAAAUAACAAGGAUUUUUUCUUUUUUUCUCUCUUUCCCCUUUCCCUUUUCCUCCUUCCUUUGAAUUAGUUUAAAUUAGUUAUGGUAUCAUUGCACACAGAGUUAGGACUUGUUAAAUUCAAUUACUUUUUAAAAAUUUCUUGUCUGUAAUUUAAAAAGGGUGGGUUCAUCUUAUGUUUUGGCUUAAACUUUAUAAAUGGUUAGUAAAACCUAUGGACAAUCACAGGAAUAACUUAGCUGUCUUCGGAACUGUUGGAAAAUGUAUUCUAUUUUGGUGUUUCCUUACAUGUGUUCAUGCAUGUAUGUGCAUGGUUAAAUUUACAUUUUCAUAAUAAAGGGUAGUUUUGACAGUGGAUGAAGUGAUAGGAUAGGAACCUUCCUCUGAGUUUGGAGGAGACAAGAAUAAAUUAUUUAAUUAUUUGUUUUACUAUUUAUGGUGACAUGCUGUAUCAUGCUACGUUAAUAAAAAGUUGGUUGAAACAUUAUUGCUUCACCCUUUUUAUUGAAAGUGUUGAUUGUUCAUUGAACCUUUAGUUGUUAAUUCUGUGCAAAAUUAAUAGCUUUGUACUGUUGGUCCUCAAGGAACUCUAAAUACAAGCCUUCAGCAGUGAUGUAACCUCUUUCUCUUCAAACGUCUGAUAAUUUUACAAUGAAAUUCAAAUUUCCUUCAAGAAGCUCUAUACUGGUGUGCCUAAUACUUUUUAAGAAUUGAGGAAGUAUAGAUUGUAAAAUUAUUUUUUUUUUUUUGUUGUUGAUACCAAAACUGAAACUUCAGAGUGUUUUGUGAUAAAAACAUUUAGAAUGUUGGUCUGCCUGUAUUAAAAAAAAAAUUUUAUUUCUUCCACAGGUAAUGAUUUACUGGGUAAUUUUUUAGGCUUAAGAAGUUUUUGGAAUAAAUUUUGCAGAUUUUCUCUAACUAUCACAACAAAAUAAAUCAGAUUCGUGAAUGACAUCUACCAAGACUGUUAUGGUUUGUUGUGAAGUAGGCUUGACCUUGUAGUUUACACACCAAACCUGGCAGUUUAGUGGGUACUGUUAACUUAGGUUAUAUAACAUUGCUUUUUGAUGCUGUAUCCUUGCAUCUUCCCCCUUAUAUUUUAUGGAAUAUAAGGAAAAUAUGGAAUUACUCAAUUCUCAUCAUGGCUAUGUCAAGCUUAAACAUAAUUCUCACUGUUUUUUUCUGACCUGAGAUGACAGCUGAAAGGUGAGCUCUUCUGUGUUGGUUCAGUAUAUUCACAUCACCAGAGAUUCCUGCUCUGCUCCAGUUCUUUAUUGGAAAUGGAUCACACCAUGUGAUUUUUUUGUUGGAAUUCAUUUUCUUCGGGUUAUUCCUCCUAAUUAAGGUAACUGUUAUUUUAGUGUUGCUGAUGUAUCCAUUCUUUGCUGUAUAAAGAUUGUCUUCGUAGCAUUUUUGUACUUGAAAAAGUAAUAUUAAUUUAAAAUAAAUGGUCUUUUUUAUUAAUAACCACAUAUGCAAAAAAAGGGAACAUCUGCCUUCCAAAUGUUAUUCAAUGAUUGUAAUUAAAAGGUUAAAUAAAAGCUGAGGCAAGCUUUGAAUUUUGAAGCAUUUGCAACAGCUAGUAAUCUGACUUACUGCAGACAUUUUUGUCAAAGUUGAAAAAGUUAGAGCUAAUUAAUUUCUUGGGAGACAUAUGAUGAAAUUGUAGGUGUGAUAACAUAUUUGAGUAACAUAUGGUCGUUAUGGGGCACCUUUCUAAUGACUGAGCACCAAGUUAAAUAUAGACUUUCCAUUUUUUCACUUCUUCUAUUAGUGGUUCUUUGUUACUACAAUUUAAACUCAUUUUCUGUCGUGCAUGAAAUAGGAUUCUUUAUAUGUUUGUAAGUACUUUAAAAAAUAUUGCCACCACGGUGCUACACCUUGGUGAAAUUUACUGAGGCGGACAGUUCAUCUGUGACAGCCUUUUGAUUUUGGUAGCAUUAAUUGCGAUUAUGUACAUUUUUGACCUGUGCUUUAUAAAUGUAAAACUUGCCACAGAAUGUUUAGAUGCCUGUCCUCAAAGUAGGAGUGUAAAAUAUUUUUGAGAGAUUGGUAGAAAAUGAAUGUUGCUCCCCCUAUAUGUAAUAUAUUGAAAUUUACUUUAAUCAGCUAUUGUAAUACAUUAUGUCCUAAAAAGGAGGACAGAGGUAUUUUUAGAACACUUUCUCAUUCAGUCU